GGGCGGCUCAAGCCGUUUUCCUUUACAUCUUGCAGGAGGCUCUGGAGAUGUUGCUCCCGGGGGUCCUCCAACAGCUCAAGGCCAUCCCUUGGCUGAUUAUCAUUACGCAGGCUCUGAUAGAUGGACACCUGAGGAGAAGGAGGCCUUCCAAAAGGCUUUCCACACCUAUGGCAAGGAUUUCCAUCUCAUCCAGAAGCAGAUCCCGAGUAAGACCGUGGCACAGUGUGUGGAGUACUACUACUGCUGGAAAAAAGAGCAGAAACUUGCCAGCAGCACUCUUGCUCAGACUGCAGGCAAACGGAAGAGGAGGAAAAGCCCUCCCAGGAAGGAGACUGGGGAGACAGGGAAGAGAAGCCGAAAGUGGGCUGGCAGCGCGGAGUGUCCCUGCUGCCAACCGCGCCA